UACGUAGGGGGCGAGCGUUGUCCGGAAUGAUUGGGCGUAAAGGGCGCGUAGGCGGAUUUGCAAGUCAGUAGUGGAAGUCCAUUUUUCAAGGAUGGAAGUGCUACAGAAACUGAUGGGCUUGAGUGCAGGAGAGGUUAUCGGAAUUCCCGGUGUAGCGGUGAAAUGCGUAGAGAUCGGGAGGAACACCAGUGGGGAAGGCGGGUAACUGGACUGCAACUGACGCUGGGGCGCGAAAGUGCGGGGAGCAAACAGGAUUAGAUACCCUGGUAGUCCCU
rnacentral:rRNA from 1 species